rnacentral:hammerhead_ribozyme from 25 species
GUCGGAUUAGGGCAGCGGUUAAGCCCUCUGAUGAGCCCCUUCGCAAGGGCGAAAUCCGCA